rnacentral:rRNA from 1 species
UAAAAAUGUAAAAUUAUUAUCAAAGUAGUAUUAGUUAUGUUCUUUAAAUUUAAAAAAUUUGGCGGUAUUUUAGUCUAUUCAGAGGAACCUGUUCUGUAAUUGAUAGUCCACGAUAAAUUGUAUUUUAUUUAAUUAAUUUGUAUAUCGUCGUUAUUAAAUAUUUUAUAAGAAUAAUAAUAUUUAAGAGUUAUAAUAAAAAAAUAUUUCAGAUCAAGGUGCAGUUUAUAAUAAAAUAGAAAUGGGUUACAAUAAAUUUAUUUAAUAUGGAUAUUUGCAUGAAAAUAUAUUUUGAAGGAGGAUUUGAAAGUAAUAUAAUUUAUAUAGAUUGUAUGAUUUUAGCUCUAAAAUGUGU